GGGGGUGGGAGGGGUGAGGGGAGCGUGGUAGGGGAUAACUGGGCGAAAAGGGAGAGUAGGUGGCGAGCCUAAGGCGGCUGUGAAGGUGGGGGGCGCAACCCGGGGUGGGCGGCGGCGACUGUGGGGCUCGGGGACUGGAGAGGCAGAUGGAAUUCCGGGUGUAGCGGUGGAAUGCGGAGAGAGCCGGAAGAACACCAGUGGCGAAGGCGGUCUGCGGGGCAGUGGGAUCGAAAGGUCCCUUCAACCGACACUGAGGCGCGACAGCGUGGGGAGCAAACAGGAUUAGAUACCCGAGUCGUC
rnacentral:rRNA from 1 species